UACGGGGGGGGCAAGCGUUGUUCGGAAUUACUGGGCGUAAAGGGCUCGUAGGCGGCCAACUAAGUCGGAUGUGAAAUCCCCAGGCUCAACCUGGGAACUGCAUCCGAUACUGGAUGGCUUGAAUUCGGGAGAGGGAUGCAGAAUUCCAGGUGUAGCGGUGAAAUGCGUAGAUAUCUGGAGGAAUACCGGUGGCGAAGGCGGCAUCCUGGACCGACAUUGACGCUGAUGAGCGAAAAGCUAGGGGAGCAAACGGG
rnacentral:rRNA from 1 species